rnacentral:misc_RNA from 1 species
GAUGAAGAACGUAGCGAAAUGCGAUAAGUAAUGUGAAUUGCAGAAUUCAGUGAAUCAUCGAAUCUUUGAACGCACCUUGCACCCUUUGGCAUUCUGAAGGGUAUGCUCGUUUGAGUGUCAUUGUACUCUCACACUCCCGAUCUUUGCAUUGGGAGCAGUGGACUUGGGUUUGCUGCUUCACCGUCGCUUACCUCAAAUAGGUUAGUGCAACUCUUGGUUGGACAUAGUACGGCGUGAUAAGUGUUCUUCGCCGGUGCCUCGCAAAGAGGGUGGCCGAUCGGGAUGUUGUGCUCCAAACCGUCUUCGGACAAUCUCUGACGACUUGACCUCAAAUCAAGUAAGACUACCCGCUGAACUUAAGCAUAUCAAUAAGCGGAGGA